UAAGUGAGUAGUGAAAUCGUGUGGCUCAACCAUACUCACAUUAUCUAAACUGCUAAGCUAGAGUAUAUGAGAGGUAGUUGGAAUUCCUUGUGUAGGAGUGGAAUCCGUAGAUAUAAGGAGGAACACCGAUGGCGUAGGCAGACUACUGGCAUAUUACUGACACUAAGGCACGGAAGCGUGGGGAGCGAACAGGAUUAGAUACCCUGGUAGUCCACGCCGUAAACUAUGGAUGCUA
rnacentral:rRNA from 1 species